AGCUUGGCACAGUGGCAGUAUCAUAACCAAUGAGGUUUAUCCGCAGAAUGAUUAUUGCUAAUUGAAACUUUGUGGUUCCAUAUGAAUUUUAGAACUUUUUUCUAUUUUAGAAGUCAGAUGAAUUUUGAUAGCUUUCAUUUGAAU
ensembl:snRNA U4 U4 spliceosomal RNA